GUCCGUGUAGCCGAAUUGGCAUAGGCACUGCGCUAAGGACGCAGGGUUUGCGGGUUCGAGUCCCGCCUCGGACACCA
rnacentral:tRNA from 2 species